AUACGUAGGUGGCAAGCGUUGUCCGGAAUUAUUGGGCGUAAAGCGCGCGCAGGUGGUUCCUUAAGUCUGAUGUGAAAGCCCCCGGCUCAACCGGGGAGGGUCAUUGGAGACUGGGGAACUUGAGUGCAGAAGAGGAUAGUGGAAUUCCAAGUGUAGCGGUGAAAUGCGUAGAGAUUUGGAGGAACACCAGUGGCGAAGGCGACUGUCUGGUCUGUAACUGACACUGAGGCGCGAAAGCGUGGGGAGCAAACAGGAUUAGAUACCCUGGUAGUCCACGCCGUAAACGAUGAGUGCUAAGUGUUGGGGGGUUUCCGCCCCUCAGUGCUGCAGCUAACGCAUUAAGCACUCCGCCUGGGGAGUACGGUCGCAAGACUGAAACUCAAAGGAAUUGACGGGG
rnacentral:rRNA from 1 species